CCUACGGGUGGCAGCAGUGAGGAAUAUUGGUCAAUGGGCGGAAGGCUGAACCAGCCAUGCCGCGUGAGGGUCAGUGCCCUUUGGGCGGUAAACCUCUUUUGUGCGGGAGCAAUAAUGGUCACGUGUGGCCAGACGAGAUUACCGUACGAAUAAGGAUCGGCUAACUCCGUGCCCGCAGCCGCGGUAAUACGGAGGAGCCGGGCGUUAUCCGGAUUUAUUGGGUUUAAAGGGAGCGUAGGUGGAUUGUUAAGUCAGUUGUGAAAGUUGGCGGCUCAACCGUAAAAUUGCAGUUGAAACUGGCAGUCUUGAGUACAGGAGAGGUGGGCGGAAUUCGUGGUGUAGCGGUGAAAUGCGUAGAUAUCACGAAGAACUCCGAUUGCGAAGGCAGCUCACUGGACUGCAACUGACGCUGAGGCUCGAAAGUGUGGGUAGCAAACAGGAUUAGAUACCCUAGUAGUC
rnacentral:rRNA from 1 species